rnacentral:rRNA from 1 species
GGGGGACCUUCGGGCCUCUUGCCAUCGGAUGUGCCCAGAUGGGAUUAGCUAGUAGGUGGGGUAACGGCUCACCUAGGCGACGAUCCCUAGCUGGUCUGAGAGGAUGACCAGCCACACUGGAACUGAGACACGGUCCAGACUCCUACGGGAGGCAGCAGUGGGGAAUAUUGCACAAUGGGCGCAAGCCUGAUGCAGCCAUGCCGCGUGUAUGAAGAAGGCCUUCGGGUUGUAAAGUACUUUCAGCGGGGAGGAAGGGAGUAAAGUUAAUACCUUUGCUCAUUGACGUUACCCGCAGAAGAAGCACCGGCUAACUCCGUGCCAGCAGCCGCGGUAAUACGGAGGGUGCAAGCCUUAAUCGGAGUGAGUGGGCGAAAAGCGCACCCCGGCGGUUUGUUUAGUCCGAUAUGAAAUCCUCACAUACUACAAUC